UCUGGAGAUUACUCUCAUUGGUGUUUUUUUUCUGUGAGCCUAUGAUAUGGAAUGGCUGUAUCACCUUGCUGGUGAUGUCCAUCCCAUCUGUGUCCCUCAGCUCCCACCAGAACAGGAGGUCAGCACGUGAAAGCCCACCUGCAGGAGAGAGGACUUUCUGGAAGGCAAGUUCAGCCUUGCUAUCUGCGCCUGGCAUGUAGAAUGAAGACUGGAUCGUUUGGAGCAAAGGCCUCCCUGCAGUCACUGACAGGUUUCACUCAAGGAAAGAUUCCUUAGGCUGGAGUGGCAUUGGACAAGUGGCAAAUCUUCUGACAGCAUGGUCAUUGGAGGAGAAAUGCUCUUGCACUCGGUCAUGCAAACCUGCUUUAGUCACAAAGGCGCAUCUUGGUUGCAAAGUUUCUAUUCUUCCUUUUCGCCCGAGGAAAAGAUUACUGGGAAAUGCAUUGGUUAAAGUUGACAAAAUGACAUUGUUUGCAUGCCUGCAGCUACACAUAUGCUUGUGCUUUGCUGCACUGGGGCAACAAGUCAUGUACACUGCUUUCCAAAACAUAGAUAAGAUAAUGCAGGCGCUUUAUAAAUUAAAACUUCAUAAACACAUAGAGCAUUUUUGGCUGGUACUACACUAACAUCUCAAUUGUUUUAGUUAUGUUUUGCAGAGUUUUGUUUUGCUUUGUUAGUAUAAUCUGUGCUCGGAGUAAACGAUGAAAAAACAGGCAAAUGGUUUGUAUUUAUAUUUUAUUAGAUUUUCUUGACACGUUGAAAGUCACUUGUCUGUUAUAAAAAGUAAGGUAACAGAAACCAUCCCAAAACAAUAAUGACUUUAUGGGUUUAUAAACAAUAGUAGCAUGUUUGCCAAGAUGGCUAGUAACUGUUUGGACCUGUCUUUUUAGCCUGACAUUUUUUCUAAGAAGAGAAAACACAAGAGACAAGUUUCCUCUCCUAGCACGUUGGCAGAAGUACAGAAACCCCAUUCUUAAUGUGAUGGGACUCAUAAAUGGACAACUAUUCAACUAAUAAAACUGUCAAAUGCAUUCAUUGUACAUGUGGUUAAAAGGUUAGACAUUUAAAGGGCAUCACCAUGCUAAAUGUACUGCUUUAUGUAAGGACUGACUUCUCAUUAAUUUAUUUACCUAAUCAAUGAAUUGUAGUGCUUAUGAUAGACUUGGGUUUUACUUGUUUUCACUAGCCUAUGUAUAAGAAAAUAAGAAAAAGCACUUAUGUUUUUUAUUAAGAAGGAAAAGAAAAACUUUAUUACCUUACACAGUAAAUUUUUAUAUUC
ensembl:lncRNA